UUGAUGCAAACACUUUUAUGGGGUUCACAACAAAGCCCGCGCUUUUACAAACUAAUCAUUUUUAAAAUAUCGCAAACCAGUCAAUUCAAAACUUCGAGAGCCCGCGCUUUGUGGACCAAUUAAUUUUAAGUUGUUCUGGAGUUACAUGUUUGUGCCUGUCUCUGGGUGGGGGAGACAUAUUGUCACCAAGAUAUAUUUAUCAGGAUUUUCAACAUUUUGUGGCACGCCCGAUCUUACUGGGGUCCGUUAGGCAAUUGACUUCUCCUCUUUUUAUCUUAUGCAAGCAGGUUUACAGAAGCCAAACAAGCAGUUAGGAGCAGUUUCAAGAAGUUUCAAGCAUAGAGGCACAUACUCAGGGGCCUGUUUUUCCCCUUCCACAAAGUUUUGUACAGAGCAGAAAGCAAGCCCUAAAACAGCAAAAAGUAUGAUCUUUUACCUAUAGGGAACAGGGUCUGGAAUUCGAGGGCAUUUAGAGCUUCUUAUUAACUUCCUGGGUUCUGGGAGAGUCAGGUUGCAUUUUCAUCCUUUCAUUCCCCACUUCUUCUCUUGUUAAUAGUUCUAAUCUUAGAACUAGGAAGGCUAAAGGUCAGUUUCUUCUUAGCUUGGAAGGCCUUGGUACUGCUGUCUAAGUACCAUGAUCCGAACUGUACUCAUUUGUUCUCUAACAAAGGCAACAAACCGAUUAAUUAAGCAAGGCCCAACUGUAAGCAACAGGAGCAGUAUUACUAGGGGUCCUGUUAGAGCAGAAAGCAGGGUGGUCACCCAUGGGGACUUGUUGAACCAUCCCUCAAACCAUCCUUGGCCAGCCUCUUUUUCUUUGUGACGUUUUUUUAACCUUUCUCUGAGCUUGUUCAUGGAGUCCCUGAUAGCUCCUGAAUGAUUCACAUAAAAGCAGCAUUUCUCUUUUAAGGCUACACAUAACCCUCCUUUUUUUAGAAAUAACAGAUCUAACCCCCUUCUGUUCUGUAGAACCAUUUCAGAUAAGGAGGUUAGGGAUUCCUCCAGGUUACUGACAGAUUUUUCUAGGGCUUGGAGAUCUUCCGUUACAAUUCGAUGUAGGUUACUAAGUCCUUUCUCCAGCUGUUGCGGUCCUGUGAUUAGGGCAGCCGUUCCUGUUCCCACGCCUGUAGCUACUCCCAAUCCGAGCAUUACAGCUAGUGUCAGGGAUAUGGGCUCUCUUUUUGGCCGAUUAUAUCUAUAGUCAUAUUCAUCAAGGACUGCUUUUUCGGGAUAGUAGUACACCCGGGGGACAAUUUGGACCAUAACGCAAAAGUCUUUAGUUUGGUUGAAAACCAAGGUGGAAACACAAGGGGUUAAUCCAGUAUUACAUGCCCACCACCUGUCAUAACCAGGUACCAGAUAUUGACUCUCAGAGGUUCGAUUAAAGGCUUCAGUGUGGUUACAAAGGUGUUGGUGGGAUGGGGGAACCCUCCCUAUGCAGGUGCCUUUUUCAGAAACCUCAGUAAGGGUAAGCUUAUUUUGGGAUCCCCAUGUACAUUGGUCUCUAUGUUCCUUUGUCACAUUGAAUUUCCCUCCUCUAGCCAUUCCCUCAUAGUAAGGUGGGCCCGAAGCUAAGCAAAGCCAACAAGAAGAGGUAGCCUCUGGAGUCGUGGAGUUAAGAGCUUGAAAAGCUCCCUGGAUGAGGCUAAAAAGUUUCGUCCCUGUUUUAAUAGUGAUGUUAGGCUCAGUGGGGACUGAUCCAGAGGUUGUAUUGUAAUCAGAGGGGUUAGGAGAUGGCCUCUGUUCUUGGAUUGGAGGUCCUUGUUCGGCCAAACCCUUAUUUGGUCCUAUAGCAACCGGAGGUUCCAUCUGAGUUUCUAUUCUGAGGCGAAUAGUCAGAACAGAUCCUUUCUUUCUCCCAGAGCCUCCAUAGUACACUAUUCCCCAAGACAUACCAUUUACCCACUUUUGAAUAUUUUCUUGUUUUUCUUUUUCAGUGAAACUUAUUUUUAAGUAAUCUAGGUCUAACGAAUGACAGCUUAUUUGCUUAUUUCGUACAUCUUUUUGUACCCGCUGUUGUCAAUCUUUCCAUCUCCCAUGGCCAUAAUUAAAUUGAUUAUAACUGGUAGGAUUGUUAACAAAAGAGUAACUUACUCUGUCUUGCUGAGAGACUGGCCAUUUCCAAUUCCCAUCAUUAGAAGUUACGCAGCUCCAUUGCUUGCAAAAGAAAUCCUGAGGAUUUCCACAAUAUUUUUCAUUAUUUGGGGGUCCUGGGCAAACGUAAAACCCGUAAGCACGGAGUACAUCGGGGGGUGUGGCCUGGUCAUUGAGACCAGGGAUUACUGAUCGAAGGCAGACAUAUAACUCAGGCCAUCAGGUCCCCAAGGGAGCCUCCCCUUGAGUGCUGUUAAUAUUAAUACCUGUACCGGAGUCAGUAAGUAACCAGGUGAGAGAUAAGGGUUUAUGGGAGUUCGGGCUGUCCACAAGGCGUUUACCAUUAACUUGAGGAGUUAUUGACAGAGUAAGGAACCACGCGAUGGAGGCGAAGCUUAAGGGGAUUUUCAGUCUUUUCGGCUUUCCACCCUGAAUCGGGAGGUGGCGCCGGCUUAACGUGGGAUGCAUGGAUCCAGGUGGGGAUUCCUUCGACUUUCAUAGCCGUUGGUGUGGUCAAAAGUACGAGAUAAGGUCCCUUCCACCGAGUCUCGAGGUUUCCUGCACGGUGGCGUCUAACAUAGACUGAAUCUCCAACUUGGAAGCGAUGUGGAACUUGCAAGUCUCCUCCUGAGUAGGCCUCCCGGAGCUGUUUCCAUGCUCGCUGCCUAGAGAACAAAGGCUGGGAAAGCAGCACAUCAGCACUAUGUGCAAAGGCAAUUUCUGCCAACGGGGGGGGUCCCCCGUAGAGCAAUUUAUAGGGGGUCAGCCCAAACUGUCCAGGGGUGUUCCUCACCCUAAAAAGCACAAAGGGCAGGAGAGCUAUCCAAUCAUUAAUGCCAGUCUCUGUGGUCAAUUUGGUAAGGGUCUCUUUAAUGGUUCUAUUCAUCUUCUCUACCUGUCCUGAGCUUUGGGGUCUGUAUGCACAAUGCAGUUUCCAAUCAAUCCCCAAUAUCUUGGCCAGUCCCUGACUUACCUGGGCAACGAAAGCUGGACCAUUGUCUGACCCUAUUACCUUAGGUAUUUCAAAUCUUGGAAAAAUUUCCUCCAGUAUUUUCUUAGCCACCACGGUUGAAGUCUCUUUCUUAGUAGGAUAAGCCUCUACCCAUCCUGAAAAGGUGUCUACAAAAACCAAUAGAUAUUUGUUUCCGUAUUUAGCCGGCUUCACCUCAGUGAAGUCCAUUUCCCAGUGAGCGCCUGGGUGGCUUCCCCUUAGUCUCUUUCCUGGAGGUAUUCUGGAAGGAUUAGCAUUAACCAGCUGGCAGGGCACACAAUGUUUGACCACCGAGUCAGCCAUUCCUGGUAGCCUCAGAACAUGAUAAGGGGAUGUUCUGACCAACUGCUGCAGGUGUUUAGUUCCUAGGUGGGUUAGACGAUGUAUCUGUUGGACAUAUUUUAACCCUUCUUUGUGGGGCAGGAUUUCCUUCCCAUCUGAGGUAUAGCAGGUCCCCUCCGGAGUUUCAGAGAACUGGUCUAUCUUUUUUAUUUCUUGCCAGUCUUCUAGGGUGUACUGUCGUCCGGGUUCUGGGGCUUUGGGUGUUUCUAUCAUAGGCAGAAGGUUAACACCCUGGGCUGCCUGCUUGGCAACCCGGUCAGCCAUCUGGUUCCCUCUGGAUAUGGGAUCUUUGGCUUUCUGAUGUCCAGGACAGUGUAUAAUAGCUAGCCUUUUUGGCAAAUGUAAGGCUUCUAAUAGGCUUAGAAUUUCCUCUUUGUUCUUUAUUUCCCUCCCUGCUGAGGUAAGCAACCCCCUUUGUUUAUAGAUGGCCCCGUGUACGUGUGCAGUCGCAAAGGCAUACCUGUUGUCUGUAUAAAUGUUUAUGGAUUUCCCUUCGGCCAGCCGCAAAGCUUGCGUGAGGGCCAUGAGCUCAGCCUUUUGUGCUGAAGUUCCUUCCGGCAGGCUGCUGGCCCAGAUCGUGCGGGUCCCGUCCACCAUCGCCGCCCCAGCCAUCCUCUUACCUUCCACCACAUAGCUGCUUCCGUCAGUGAACCAGGUUAACACUUCUCCAGUCAGCGGUAUGUCUGUAAGGUCCUUGCGGACCCCAGUCUCCUCAAUCAAUAGUUGAUGGCAAUCAUGAGUCACUGGUUUAUCAGUCUCUUCAGGCAGAAGAGUGGCAGGGUUGAGAGCGGCUGGUGGAGCGAACGUGACCCUCUCUGUGAGAAGCAGGCUUUGAUAGUGGGUCAUGCGGGCGUUGGUCAUCCAUCGGUCUGGGGGCUGCCGAACGAUGUUUUCCAACGUAUGGGGGGCUAUUACAGUUAUAUUUUGUCCCAAAGUCAAUUUGUCAGCGUCCUUGACCAGUAUGGCCACAGCUGCGAUAGCCUUCAGGCAUAUGGGCCAACCACUGGCUACAGGAUCGAGCUUCUUUGACAGGUAGGCAACAGGUCUCCUCCAUGGUCCUAGAGUUUGGGUUAAAAUUCCCCGGGCUACUCCCUUACGCUCAUCCACAUAAAGGGUAAAGGGUUUAGUCACGUCAGGGAGGGCCAGAGCAGGUGCGCUCAGCAGGGCCUUUUUGAUAGCAUCAAAUGCCUUCUGGUGCUCAGGAGCCCAGGAGAAUUCCCCUUUUUUUUUGGUUAGUGGGUAGAGUGGGGCUGCUAAGGUCGCAAACCCCGGGAUCCACAGUCUGCAAAAUCCAGCUGUCCCCAAAAAUUCUCUCACUUGUUUGGCUGUGGUUGGGGCCGGUAUCUGGACUACAGUUCUCUUCCGUGCCUCCGUCAGCCAUCGCUGCCCGCCCCGCAAACUGUACCCCAAGUAUGUUACCUCUCUCCUGCAAAUCUGGGCCUUCUUAGCGGAGGCUCUGUAGCCUAGGUCAGACAAUUCCAGCAGUAGUGCCUUCGUACCUUCUAAGCAGUCCUGUUUGGUGGCUCCCGCCAGAAGUAGGUCAUCCACGUACUGGAGGAGGGUCACCUGGGGGUGUUGGAUCCUGAAGUUGGCCAGGUCUCUGUGUAGGGCUUCGUCAAAGAUGGUCGGGGAGUUUUUGAACCCUUGGGGCAGUCGAGUCCAAGUGAGCUGCCCGGUUCUUCCCGCACCUGGAUCUCUCCAUUCGAAGGCAAAAAGUGGUUGGCUAGUGGGAUGUAGUCUCAGGCAGAAGAAGGCAUCCUUUAAGUCCAAUACUGUAUACCAGCUCCGUUGGGGUGGGAGAGCACACAAGAGGUUAUAAGGGUUCGGGACUGUUGGGUGUAUAUCCUGCACCCGUUUAUUGACCUCUCUCAAGUCCUGUACUGGUCGAUAGUCAUUAGUCCCAGGCUUUCUAACCGGUAGCAGGGGAGUAUUCCAGGGAGAUUGGACAGGAACUAGGAUGCCCUGUUGGAUUAAUCUUUGAACAUGCGGCCGAAUUCCUUCUCGAGCUUCUUUACUCAAGGGGUACUGUCUGACUGACACUGGUGCAGCACUGGCCUUCAGUUGAAUAACCUGUGGGGGAACUUGCUUUGUCAAACCCAUCCCUGCGGUUUUUGCCCAGGCUUGGGGAAACUGUUCCAACCAGAAUUGUAUAUUUUGAUCAGGCUUUACUAGGGGAGAAUAUAGUCGAUAUUCGUCAUCUAAUUGGAGGGUCAACACAGUGAUAGGUUUGUUAUUUGCAGACACUUCUGGUUUCCCUUGUUCAAAAGAAAUUUGUGCUCCCAUCUUGGUCAGUAAGUCUCUACCUAAGAGGGGUGCUGGGCACUCAGGUAUGACCAGAAACGAGUGGGUUACCCGUCCCACUCCCAAGUCAACUGUUCUUCGGGUAGUCCAUGGAUACUGUUGUUGCCCUGUGGCACCCAUCACCCAGGAUUUUUUAUCUUUUAGUUUUCUUAAUGGCUGUAGUAGCACUGAAUGUUUCGCUCCGGUAUCAACCAGAAACUCAACUGGUUGCCCCUCCACCUUUAAAGUUACCCUGGGCUCGGGGAGGGGGUCCGAACCCCGUCUUUCCUAGUCUUUAUCUUCUUCCAGAGCUAAGACCUUCAGUCCUUUGUUUCUCUUCUUGGGGCAGUCCCUUGCCCAGUGUCCUUUUUCUUUACAAUAUGCACAUUGGUCCUUGUCGAGUGGGGUCCUAUUGCCCAGGUUCCCUGACUGUCUAGGGCCUGACCUAAUUUUCCUAAAAUCUCUCUCUCUUUCCCUAUUGCUUUUUCUUUCAACCACUGCAGCCAAGAUCUUAGUCAAAUUCUUCUCUUGUCGUUUAUUACGUCUUUCCUCCCUUUCCUCUCUUUCUUUCUCUUUUUUUUGUUCCCUUUCUUCUUCUGUCUCCCUUUUGUAAUACACUUUCUCUGCCUCCUUCACUAGAUCACGUAACUCAGCCUCCUGUAACCCUUCCAGUCUCUGAAGCUUCUUUCUGAUAUCCAGGGCUGACUGUCCUAUGAAGGCCAGGGCCACUGAGGCUUUCUGAGCCUCCGAGGUAGGAUCAAAAGGGGUGAACCGCCUGAAGGCUUCCAUGAGCCUCUCAAGAAAAACUGAGGGAGGUUCAUUCGGUCCCUGCAUCACCUCUCUUACCUUAGCCAAGUUAGUGGGCCGUCUUGAGGCGCCCCGGAGACCCGCCACCAGAGCCUGGCGAUAGAUUUUCAAGCUCUCCCUACCUUCAGCCGUGUUGUAGUCCCAACCGGGGCGAGUCAAGGGAAAUCCCAUGUCAAUCUCAUUUUGCAACUGCGUGGGUCGCCCGUCGGCCCCAGGAACAUUUUUUCUAGCCUCUAACAGAAUUCUCUCUCGCUCCUCGGUUGUGAAGAGUGUCUGCAGCAGCUGUUGACAAUCAUCCCAAGUAGGCUGGUGAGAGAACAUAAGGGACUCCACCAACCCCGUGAGGCGUUGGGGAUCCUCCGAGAAAGGGGGAUGGUUAGUUUUCCAAUUAUAGAGAUCUGCAGAAGAAAAGGGCCAAUACUGGAGGGGCUGCAAUUGGCCCCCCGGUAUGGGAGGCCGUACGUGCGCAGCGGUAAUGUCGCGAUCUCGUCUGUCCGCUCCGGGGUGGCGCCCCUCCGGCUCCGAGUCCCUGCAGCAGGUCCCUCCACCGCCGGAGCUCCAGGAGGGGCAGAGGGUCCCCUCGCAGCACCCUGUGCCGGAUAAGGGGGUGGGGGAACAGAUUGGGGUUCCGGCCAAGCCGGCGGCUCCUCAAUCUCGGGGUAGAUAUGAGGAGAGGGCUUGACUUUUUCAGCCGAGUGUUUGUUUUUCUCUCCAAGAGCCAGAAUUCGGGGACCUGGCUUUCUUGGCUUAUUCAGCCAAGGUUUAACCCAUGGCGGAGGAUCCUCUGCCAAAUCUUGCCACGUAAGGAUAUAGGGCUCCUGAUCGGGAUGAGAGCCGGGUCCAGUCUGAAAAAUAAUUGCUUUAACAGCCAGGAUAAUCUCAGAAUUAAAGGUCCCCUCUGAUGGCCAUCCAACAUCGAAUGUCGGCCAUUCAGAGACACAGAAAGUCUGCCAAGGUCCCUUCUUAACCUGAACUGACAAAUUAUGAGCCCUGGAUUUAACUUCAGUCCAAUGGUCGAGAGUCAAACUAAGAGGGGUCGUCACAGUCUGUCCCAUAUUAAAACUGUAGACAAGGACGCACAAGACAAAGACACACAAAACAGAAACCAACAGAUCCAGACACACGCGACCCGUCCGCGUCUUCCACAAGCAGGCAAAAGAGUCGGACGGCCGCGGAGGGGAAGCUUUCGCUUCAACAACAGAACUCGGUCCUCUGACCGACAGAAGGAGACCACCAGGCGUCCCUGGCUCUCCCCACCUCCCGGGGCGUCCCCCAGGGUGGCAGCCUGUGAUCCUCCUAGCACGUCUGCUGAUCACAGUCCCCCAGUCCUUACGGUCUGAGAGGACAGCUGCAAACCGAAAGCGCGCAUCACCGAAAACAGACACUCAGAACAGAGACGCCAGCCGACAUACACACUCACAUGUUCCAAAGGGGAUCCCUUUACCUCCAAGUCGGUUCUCGGGUGUGAGGGGUAGUCGCGGGUUUCCCGGCCAACGCACCAAACUGAAAGGCCAGUCGAGUUAAAAUCCCUCUCGUCCUGACUCGGAAGAGGCGACACCCCAAAUCACUCACGAGAAGCGGUCUUGAUGCAAACAGCAAGAGGAUUUUUAUUCCGAGCGCGCUGGGGCCCACAGUCGUACGCCACGCAGGGGUAGAGGACUGCGG
rnacentral:lncRNA from 1 species